UACGGAGGGCGCAAGCGUUAAUCGGAUUUAUUGGGCGUAAAGGGCGCGUAGGCGGAAAGGAAAGUUAGAUGUGAAAUCCCGGGGCUCAACCCCGGGACUGCAUCUAAAACUUCCUUUCUCGAGGAUAAGCGGAGAAAAGGGAAUUCCACGUGUAGCGGUGAAAUGCGUAGAUAUGUGGAAGAACACCGGUGGCGAAGGCGCUUUGCUAGCUUACUCCUGACGCUGAGGCGCGAAAGCAAGGGUAGCAAACAGG
rnacentral:misc_RNA from 1 species